GGGACACAGGAGAGGGUCAUGGGCCUGCAGAUUAGAAAGACAAAACAAUCCUCUGCCCCAUUUCCCGUGAAUUUAGUCCCACUGAACUCGUCCAGCCGGAUAAAGAGGAUUUCCACACCUUUCAACACAGCUGCAAGGUGCCUGUAGAAGGAAAGCAAGCAGUUCACCUCUUGUUGAACUGGCUGAAGUGGCAGAGAGAGUUUGGAAGUGCAGAUUCCUGCUCAGGAGUGAUGCAAGAGCUCUGUGCUUGGCUGUCCUGCCCUUUCCUGAGCUCUCCAGGCUCAAUAAUAAUAAUAAUUCCCAGGGUGUGGGUUGGAUACUUCCUUAAGGAGCAGCAGGAUGGCCACAGCCACCACGGUGCCUGUCAUAAAUAUUGGCAACGUUUGGGUGCGUUUUAAUGUGUUUGGUUUUUUUUUUCCUACAGCUUUUAAAUACAAAAUAAGCCUCUUAUUUAAAAUUAAUCCAUAAGGUUCGUGUGUCUUGAUACCAGUCAGAUUUGUUGAAAAUGCCUAGUCAAUACAUAGCCUUUUAAUAGUUUAAGUGUUGGGAACUGCCAGAAGACCUUAAGGCAAAGAAUUCACAAAAUAGCCAGAUUUUAGCAUCCCAUUACACGCCCCAGAAUGGCAGGCUUGGAGCUAACAAUUCAGGAAUGUGUCGGUACUUCAGCACUUGCUUGAUCCCUGACUGAAAGGCUUGGAAUUUCUGUCUUAGAUAUGCUGAAGGUGAUAAAUUAGCCCGUGAGUUAUUUCAUCAGCACUGAUUGACAUUCAAACACUCUGAGUUAGUCACUUAGGAAAGGACUUGAAGGAGGCCACUGGGUCUCCUGCAUCCUGUGCACUCAGAGUAGGUAAAUUUGAUGUAAUUCGGAUGCAACCAGCCCGCACAAAUCCAAAAAUCGUAGCACCGUGUGACCGGGAUGCAAAAGCUGCAUCCCUUGACUCUUCUCUAGGUGGGAGAUCAGGCUCGGAAUGGAGCAAGAACAGCGGGUUUUGGCUGUGGUGGGAUUUCAGCUAUUUGCAUGUGAACAGGGAAGCCUAAUUCCAGUGUUUCUGCAUGGAGUCAUCACCAUCAUCAUCCUCAAAGGGCUCCCUGGAGGAGCAAUAAUCCCUUAACAGCUCCUUCAGGUGCUCCCCUCUGCAGCAGGAGAGCAGAAAUUGCUGCAGCCAGCUGAGCUUAGCCUGCUUAUCUUGUGAGAGAGGGACAAUCCUCUCGCCCUGGGGACAUCCAGUGACCCGGGGCAGAAGGUGAGCAGUCCUGUGAAACACCCCUGAAAUGAUGUGUCCGUUCUUGUGGAUGCUGUUGAGCACGAAACACACCCAAAGCUGAAACUGAAGUGAAAGUAGUGGGGUUACACCCAUGACACUGCUGUCUUCUUCAGAGAGAUGUCCCAAUGGCUCUCCCAUCGCCCGAGUAAAAGGAAAGUGAACAGAAUAAAAGGCUAAAAAGGAAACCUGCGUCCCUCUCA
rnacentral:lncRNA from 1 species